GACGGAAGGUGCAAGCGUUGCUCGGAAUCACUGGGCGUAAAGGGUGCGUAGGCGGCCUGGUAAGUCUGGCGUGAAAGCCCAGGGCUCAGCCCUGGAAGUGCGCUAGAAACUGCGAGGCUCGAGUGCCGGAGGGGAGAGUGGAAUUCCUGGUGUAGCGGUGAAAUGCGUAGAUAUCAAGAGGAACACCUACGGCGAAGGCGGGUUGCUGGGCCGACACUGACGCUGAGGCGCGAAAGCCAGGGGAGCGAACAGG
rnacentral:rRNA from 1 species